UCCUUUUGCCGUUGCAGCAGCUUCUGGUGGAGAAGAAGGAAGAGGCAUCCAUCGUGCGUGGAAGGAACCGCCAGGCAGGAGCGAGGAGAAGAGGAGUGGGGAGUGGCAGCGGACUGAAGAAGGGGCACAAGAACGGCACUCCUGGGAAGGCACCUUCCUGUCUCCAGCGCUGUGGUCACAUAAAGCAUCCCUGGCCCUUUGGGGAUGUUUUCUGUGCCUCUGGAGCAGCAUCUGCACAGGGGAGGAAGCUGCUGGACCUCAGCCUCUGGAAGAAGACGUUCCUCCUCUCUGUCCUGAAACAGCUUCUGCCCCCGCCCUUUUCCCAGCUCUUCAGUGCUGAGGGCACUCAAUAAAAUGCUUUCUCCAACAAUA